rnacentral:sRNA from 1 species
GUUGGGCAUCGUGGUGCAUGCCUGCAAACCCAGCUGCUUGGGAGGCUGAGACAGGAGGAUCACGAGUUCAAAGCCAGCCUCAGCAAAAGUGAGGCACUAAGCAACUCAGUGAGACCCUGUCUCUA